rnacentral:tRNA from 1 species
AUCAGAGUGGCGAAAUUGGUAUACGCAUUGGACUUAAAAUUCAAUGUCUUUAAAGACAUGCCGGUUCGAAUCCGGCCUCUGAUACCA